rnacentral:lncRNA from 1 species
AGACAGACAGACAGACAGACAGACAGACAGACAGACAGACGUCUGAGAUAUAGACAAACAGACGAACAGAACAUGCUGUUGCCAUCGCGUUACACAUGUUCAGGAAUCAAGAGUCUGCUGUUGCCACUUUACAACCCGCCGCCUUGACACGGCGGUGUCACAUACUCAUAAAUCAUCAUGUUCAGCCAAUAAUCUACCACAAAAUUGAUGCGUGCUCCACAAUUUCUUUCUCUUCCGCUUGCUUUCUUGGUGAGCACUCCCUAGGAUCCCAGGCCACAUGGACCGGCGGGAUAUUCGUACACUGCUUGCGUGUACGUGCGUACUACCUGCUUGAUGUUGUAAUUAAUGUCAUUCUCCCGCCGCAAUGAUCUCUGCAGACAAAUUACUAAACCAAGAAAUCGGCUAGCCCAUCAAUAAUUACCAAGCUAGCAUUCAUCAGGCACCGUACUGCACGCACGCAGGCAGCUGAUGACAUACAUGAAAUGGGAGCUGUCAACCAUGCAUGCACAGCCAAGCCUCAUUGAUACCAUGCGUCGUUGGAUGUCAAUGUGUGUCCUUCUAUCUGCGUAUCUCAUCAUCCAAGAGCAACUUUCGCACGAACUGAAAUGCCGCGGAUAAAGGGCGGGCGGUGAUAAAUCACAGCGGUUAUUGUAUUAGCCUGAAGCUAAUUAAUAACAGGCCUGGUGUUUCCUUCACAAGCUAUAUGUAUCUGUACAAGGAGCAAAUCGCACACCAAGCUAGAACAGCUUCACAUACACCUCACAACGUACGUAGUCAUAGCCUCUCAAAACGCAAAACCGCUGGGGCUACUGCCCGCAAGGUCCCAUGAGCACACCUGUUGCAGGAUAAUAAAUGCGAGCAGCGCCAGCUACAUGUGUUGCAGCAGUCAAAAUUUCCAAAUCCGCAGGUGCAUAAAGAUUUGAUAUUCGAUUCAUGCAUCUAAUAGUAGCUCCGCUCGGGUGCCAUGCAGGCCCCUGCUGCGGCGUACUCACAGCCGAGGAGCGAGCGCACAGGUUAACCUGUUAACGUUAACUGCCCCCGCUUGCUGUACUGUAUACGGCGGCAUACAGAUGCGAAAGGAACCAAGCUCUACAUGCGCGCUAAUGCAGGAUGGCCGCCCAUUGGUACACAGUUUCUAGGGAAUUCCAUUCUUCAUUGUCCUGUUAUCAGGAAACCAAACGUCGGGCACCCGGUCCUAGCCGUUGAGUGCUUAUUAUUUGCGUUAUGCGCACCAACCCCGCGCCUCCCCCACGCGUAUGUGUUUUACACGCCCAAGGCCUAGCUGGCUGUCUAAAACCUAACCCUAGAAACGAGUAACGAAAGAUGGCAUCUAUAAAUCUAUGGCCGUAAGCAGGUAUGCAUGCAACGAAUGUGGGCAUUCGACGCCUCGCUCAUAACCAAACCUUUACUUCAGGGUUGGCUUGCACAGCGGGUAAACAUGAAGCAUUAAUGCUCACAGCACGCACGUAUCUGGCGAUUUGAUGAUGCUUCCGGGCUCCGGAAUGGGAGUCCAGGGACACGUGCGCGGCUGCUGCAAGCUCCCCGUGUAGACAAACAGUAGCACCGCCGCAGUAGUGUGCAGCCAUACAUCGCCGAGCACGCAGGCAACAGCCCCUGCAGGCAGCUGCCCCUGGCUCCGUUCAAUCGCUCGGUUGACCAUGCAUGAUAAGUGACCUUCUCUAUCUGUUACGACCUAAGCUCCUACCCCUAGCCUGUCAGUGCAGCGGUACGCAAUCUGCCGCAGCAGCCCCCAUUACCAGUGUAAUCCUGCUCCGACGACAUACAUACAUUGCCCAUAGCUACUUGGCAUGCAUGUAUGUCAUAGCGUCAAAUUCUAUGCACGGCUUGCUAGUCCUUUGUACGAGAACAAUGCACCCAUUCCGCAAUGGCAAGAAGCAAGUAGAAGAGGAAGUACAAUAUUCGCUGAUGCAUGCGGACUUGUUGGUAAGGUGCACACCCAGCUCCUGUGCCCAAGGACAAUCAAUCAACCAGGAGCCCAGCCACAUAAAUGUAUAAGACGAUUUGAUGUCAUACGCAAUCACCCUCGCGGAAUGGCUGUUUUCCGCUCCUUCUCUGUACACGUCGUAUUAAUUCCGCCACUGAUGAAGUCUCAUAUACGAUCUGUCCAUGGAAGAUCGACAUAUGACUGUAUCUCCCAGUAAGAGAUGAGAGGGCGGCUUCAACGCUUCUGGAAUUCAAGUACGCAAUGAGCACUGCACCUGCGAGAAAGCAACCGGUGACUCGUCCUCUGUGCCCCACACCAUAGUUUGGAUGGUGUACCCUAGUGGUGGGCACAUGUACGGCAGCGAGCCUGCCCCCUCGGGCAGCUUACGGCCGAGAACAAGGUACGACCACUGCAACAGAAUGGGACUCAACAGGCCCUGAAUCUUGGCGGCUUCCUUUACGUUGGCAAACGAGCCGCACACCAUGACGUACGGCACCGCGGGUGGCUUGACGUUGGGAUCGUAGGUGGCACUGCAGCUUUCCAGCGCGAAGGGAGUGGAGAUCUGGGCACCAGCCUGCUGGGCUGCGUCCGUCAGGUUCUUCGCCAUCCAUUCAGCGGCGCCAUCGCAGCUGACCUGCUUUCCAAACGUGUAGGUCAGGGCCCCGGAUUGGUCGCGGGGUGAAAUCAGGUUGAUAGCCGCGCAAACUUGGCUGUAAGAUAUCAUUGCCGCAUCGGAGGUUUUGGAGCCCAACGAAGGUGACGGGGGCUGUGACAGAGGUGAUGGUGAUGGCGAUGGCGGCGGCGGCGACGAGACUUGUGGGGAUGGCGGGGAUGGCUUACUGAUGGGAGGGGAGGGCAUGCGGCGUGGCGAUGGCGGCCGGAGGCGCGGGGAGGACACCGGGCGCUUGGCAGGCGGCUGCGAGGCGGUCCGGCUGGCGGUCGUGGCGGCAGGCACUGAAGCCAACAGCCUGGCCCGGCGUCGGAAUCCCAGGACCGAACACACCGCCGCAUCUUUCUCUGCAUCCUUGGCGCCGCCCGCUGCUGCUGCCGGUGUCACCGCAAACCUACAUUAGGGGACAUUCAUAUAUGCACAUGCAUGAGGUCGACGACAAAUGGCAGGGGGCCACUUUGCUUGCGAAUAGCUGCUCGUGUGGCUGCUGGGCUGAACAGCUAGCAUUCGCCACUUGACGUUGGCCAGUGGGACUGGAAGCCACGCUACCGCAGGCACGCAACUUAGUUCCACACUGGCUGAGGCACGAGAUAGAGCUGAUAACAAACGGCUAUCCCGGCCGAACAGAUAUGCAAGCAGAGGGGCACGCAGCAGAAGUAACGUCCACGCCCAGCAUCGCAACAACGGCAACUAGCCUUCCAUGGCCUGGCUUGUACAGACACCCCGGCAUUCAUACGGAGUUUGUAAUAAGCAAACAACGCGACUAAUAAUGACAAACACAUGGUGGCCUCGUGGCACCGGGCCAUGGGCCCGGGCCCAGCUAACCUGGGCCCCACACGGGCUGCUGGUUGUUGAACGAUUAGUUGCCAUCCGGACCAAUAUCGCCCACGACGAUGCAAGUGCUCUCCGCAUACAAUUAUCCCACAGAAGCGUAUGCAAUAACGGCGCAAUUUGCAUCGUCGCAAUCAACCCACCUACAGUCCCCGGGGGCUUCGCACAGCAGCUGCUCGCCAACAAGGGAGCCCUGCUCCAUGUCAGCAACGGAGGUGGUGGUUAAGCAAAUGGUGGUGCCGGAGAAGGUGGAGGAAUCCAGAGACAAGCCAAAGAUGCGGAUGGUGGCAGCGUCGAUAUCAUCCAUGCCUGCAUGAAGGGCAGGCAUAAUGGAUACAUGCAUGGCGAGGGCUUAAAGUGUGAGUGCGUAAAGCUGUGUAGAGUAACCACAAUAAUACCAUAUGCAUGCGAGCCACGACCAGUAGCUAGCAGGGCCUAGCACGGCCAACCGUGCCAUGUGCACGUGUCGCUGGGAAUGCUUUCCUGUACACAUCAAAUGGGCCGAAUGCCUGGCGGCUGUCUAGUGAGUAUUGUGGUGAAAUCGACCUUCCAAAAAUUAGAGUCGGACCGCAGCCUCUCUUGUGGCGCAAUACCGUUAGCUAGCGAGUUAGCUACUAACAAGGCUGAAGGCUGUAUGUACAGGCGCACCUGCAGGGAGGGUACCGCCGUCGGUACGCUGCGGAGCCGCGUCCCAGCGCAUCCAGAUGCUGCCGUUGACCUCCACUUGCCGAACCCCCAUCUCCACAUGCUUGUGCCCACGCGAGUGUACGGCGGUGACACCUGCAGCAUUGCCCGGCCGCACCAAGAUACGUCAGUCAGUCCGUCCGUCCGUCAGUCAGUCAGUCCGUCAGUCAGUCAGUCCGUUAGCAAGGCAUUCCUUCCUCUGCAUUAAGGAACAACUUGCGUGUACACGUCCACAACGAACAUUCAAUGCUCCCAAUAUGAACGCUCCGUCGCUGCCGUGCAAGAACUAGGUGUAAGGAAAGCGUUAGGAAAGGGUUAGAUUGCAGCCACAUCAAUCCUAACUACGCCCACCCGCCUCACGUGAGUCGUACGCACCACUUGUUUGUAAGUAGAGGCUGUCCACACCGCCUCGUAGCAGUGUCUCACAACAGGUGUCGCCAGGAUCGCAGCCUCGGACCCCUACCAGGAAGCAGUACCUGCUGUCACGUUGACCGCCACCGAGGAAUCUCUGCGGGACCAUACAGGGUAGGCUGCUUGCUUGCGACACGGUAGGUGUGGGUAAUCAGGUAAUCAGGUAAUCGGGUAAUCGGGUAAUCAGGUAACCAGGUAAUCAGGUAAUCAGGUAAUCGGGUAAUCGGGUAACCAGGUAAUCAGGUAAUCGGGUAAUCAGGUUACCAGGUCAUCAGGUUAUCAGCAUAUGUGCAUAUGAGUUCCGGCUGGACGCAAUGUGAGACGGCAGGCGCUGAAGGAACGCUUGACUGCUGCACACAUACCAACCUUUGGAUGGAAAAUGGCAACUGACGGAAUCGGGUUCCGCGGUCGCACGGUCACGCGUUACCUAACUGGAUUUGACCGAGACCUGGCCGUUCAACAAAAACAAUAUCGUACGAUGCAUACCUUUUCAAAGCUAGCAAAGCCGAGGCUGUAGGGCGAGCAACCGCAAUCGCUCGUGGUAAGCCUGUGCAAGUUGGGUACAGAGCAAGAUGGGCGAAGCAGGGCCACUUGCUGAAGGGCUGAAGGCGGCUCACAGGACACCCGCCCAGGGAGCAAAGGUCGAGACUAUAUAUAAAAUAGCCCCAGCCCAUCUUUUGAAAUGGGCCAUUGUCGGUGAUAAAUGUAACAGACAUAACGAAGCCAAAAGGUUACAGGUCCGUUCCCAACGUCUUAGGGCUAAUCCAGCCUCCAGGCGACAACGUCUCCAACCAGUCCGAGUAUCGAAAAGAUAGGUAGUAGGCAUGACUAAGGCUUUGCCAUCUCAUCAUAACGAGUCCCCCGACAUGGCUCCUUAUAGCGGUUCCGAUAAUUCAGGACCUAUGCGACGCACCCGGUUAGGGACGUCCUCAACUCUUGGCCCCCACGAAGGGAGAUGAUGCGUGCGGAGACGAUGUGCUUAUAUUCCGCUAGCAAAAAAACUGCGUGACAAAAAUUAUGCGUUGCAGUGAAGUUCAACAGAGUAUGAGCAUUCAUUCCGUGGCAAUGUCAAGCAGCGCUGCGGGGGAUUCGGACGGAAGGCCAAAGCCAGAAGCUUUAUUCCUGGAUUGAGCGCGUCUUGUGCGCGCCUAUCGGAUGUAAUCAUCAUUCGCGCAUUAAAUUAAAUUCAUCACGAGCUUUCAGCAUACCUGAUAAAGAAAGAAGCGUCAACCGACGGCAAUUUGAGGUGUGCGCGGCCUUCAGAGAACACAUUCUCCGUGUGGACUAUGUCGUUUCAAUAAGGAACCAGUUUUUCUGGGACGACUUGGCCUCAGGAACUUGGGCGGCCUUUCCGACACUCCGAUAAUUUUUUUGUAGCGGUUGGGCUUUUUUUAUAGUUUCCAGUCUGUAAAGCUAAAUGUUUACUAUGAUUACGCUAAGCAAUAGUGCUUAAAAUUGAUUUAAAUGGUCUUGAAGUAAGCCAUCAGACUAUGUAGGGUGAAAAGCGAGCCGUACGGUGUCCGGCAGCUUAGCAGCCGCAACGCAUUGCUGAAAUCCACGCUUACUUCAAGUGAACUCGUAAUUAAGCGAAAAGUCAAACAUAUCACAGUUACAUUGCACUGGUAAACAGACGUACUGCGGUAGGGAAGCCUAAGUGCGUGGGGCGUAGUCGGGAAAGUGAGUAGCAGGCGGGCGGCUACAACAUAGUGGCCAAUCAGCAAAACAGUUAGCCAUCAUAAAUUAGAGUUGUUCAAUUUACAUCUCCUGAUAUCCAAAAGCUGUACAUCAGUGUGCCGUGCCAUUCUAGAAAGCAAGCGAGCCACUGCUCGUAGUGGCAGAUGUUAACAGCGCAUACACAUCCGGUUAUAAAAAUGGUAACCGUGUGCUUACAGUCAGCAUGAUGUGCAGUGGCUUUAUGCUUUUUUUACGUUAUGACCUUAUCGCUGGUUGCCUUCAAGCUUUUGGCUUCAUCAACCCUGAUUCCAUGCUAUCUGUUAGGGCUACUUACUGAGCGAUCGCUAAACUUUCGCUUUCGUUCGGCCACCAUGUGGCGAUGCCCAGGUGCACAGCGCUUCAUACACUCUGCCUUGGAAGGCCCAAGACUGUUCCGAGAACAAAAUGGUAAUGGUAUCGUGCGUCAAUGUAUGAAUGAUCUUUGUCACAGUGGAUCCGGAAAUAUAAAGCACAGCAAUCAGAUCAUUUUAAAAAUACAAAGGCCCAACAAAUAUCCUUAGCACGCAAAACAACCCAGGUAACCUGUGCCAACCCAGCGGCCUGUGGUCAGGGCGAUGCGAACUAAUUAUCGAUCCUGCGAGCACUACACAUCUGUUUUUCCACUUUGGACCAGUAAAUGGCUCAAAGUAGAACUUAUCGGUCCAAACCGGCAAUCGCAACCACACACUCUUCGACCAACCGCUAAGCAGCUGGUCUAGGUUUCAAUCGCCUGGGUCACUUAUAUUUCUAAACACUCUUGGAGCCUACAGUAGCCCAAGCGAUGUGAAAGCAUAACUCCUAGAGACGUAUGUAUGCCCCGCUGGUUGGAGUUUGGCGCAAGGAUAAAUAGCUUUUGCGCGAUGCAAGUGAGCCAUGUUGCGGUUACAAAGUAAUAAAGCAAAACGGUUAAGCGGUGCCCGAGAAUGCUCAGGGCUCCACGAGUCAUAUGCUAUCAAGCGCACCUGCACCAAGGCUACACAUCUCGCCAGCACAUGCGCCGGCAAUUUCAACUCAUGUGCUACCGCAGUCCACCACAGGACUAGGCAUCUAGUACGGCGGUGAGCUGCCCCGGUCAGCAAGGGGCUGCCCCAGCCAGUAGGGGGCUGCCCCAGUCCACUACGCCGAAAAUGUCUAGGUCUAUCUGCUAAUAGGCAGAUCGGCACUAUAUACACCGGGCUAGAGCUUAAAUCGUUCUCUAAAGUUGGUGAGGAAGUAAAAAACCACAAACGCACAGCCAUACUUGUGAAUGAUUGAGUGCUACGCAAUGCCUUGCGUGGUUUGUGAUUGCUAAAUGCAAUUAACCAAAACCUCUUCAAAAGACAGCGCAUGCAAGCAAAAUCACAUUUCAUGGAUGCACGCAAAGCUACCUUCUUCGCACACAUACACAUUUGCGUCAGGCGCAAGUCACCGGAAGCACUGGCAUGCGAGUGCGUAAAUAAUCUGCACAGCAAGCAGCGACGUCCCCGGAUCCCUUUCUUGCAACGCAGAGCCGCACACAUAGUCACGAUAACGAAAUCAAUCAAUGGUCUAAAACGGCGUAAUAGCGCCGUGUGAUCUAUGGGAUUUCCGCAUCAGCAUGUUGCCAGCCAAGACCGCCUUAAGCUAAAGAGAACAUUACCCCCAUAUACAUUAACCUGGCCAUCCUGCAACUCUUCCCAGAUAGGAGGAAGCCGAGCUACCCCGGAAAAACCUUGCCAUGGCCGCGGGCUUUCCUUCUGCAUCAUGAUGCCAGGAAUCUCUAUUUGUGUAUUCUAGUAGCACUACUGCUCGUCGUCGCCCCAACGAAUACAUGCACAGGGAUGGACUGGAUGAUUCCAUGACUACGCACGUUCUUGUGCCGCCUCAUAUCCUUUAGAGGGCACCUCGAGACGACGAGCACUGCACUUCCGAGAAAGCAACCGGUGACUCGUCCUCUGUGCCCCACACCAUAGUUUGGAUGGUGUACCCUAGUGGUGGGCACAUGUACGGCAGCGAGCCUGCCCCCUCGGGCACCUUACGGCCGAGAACAAGGUACGACCACUGCACCAGAAUGGGACUCAACAGGUCCUGAAUCUUGGCGGCUUCCUUUACGUUGGCAAACGAGCCGCACGCCAUGACGUACGGCACCGCGGGUGGCUUGACGUUGGGAUCGUAGGUGGCACUGCAGCUUUCCAGCGCGAAGGGAGUGGAGAUCUGGGCACCAGCCUGCUGGGCUGCGUCCGUCAGGUUCUUCGCCAUCCAUUCAGCGGCGCCAUCGCAGCUGACCUGCUUUCCAAACGUGUAGGUCAGGGCCCCGGAUUGGUCACGGGGUGAAAUCAGGUUGAUAGCCGCGCAAACUUGGCUGGGAAGCUCUACCGGCAUGUCUGAGGACUUUGAACUGAAGGAUGAUGGCGAUGGCGGCGGCGGCGACGAGACUUGUGGGGAUGGCGGGGAUGGCUUACUGACGGGAGGGGAGGGCAUGCGGCGUGGUGAUGGCGGCCGGAGGCGCGGGGAGGACACCGGGCGCUUGGCAGGCGGCUGCGAGGCGGUGCGGCUGGCGGCCGUGGCGGCAGGCACUGAAGCCAACAGCCUGGCCCGGCGAUGGGAUCCAAGCACCGGAAUCUCAAACGUGGAAGCUGUGCCACUGUAGCUGUCAGACGACUUGACCUCUGCAGCAAGCCUGCAGGUAUAGGCGAUGAGACGCGUAAUUAGUGAGGACAUAACGCAAAUAGCAGGGCACCAUUCUCAGCACUGGGAAGCCGGACUAAUAUGUCCUGCUGUUUUGCAGACAAGGUCAUCCCCUAAUAUAUUAAUAGUUAAGCCUAUCCGUAACGUGCUUCAGAAGUCGCUUACAUACGUCCUUCCUCAUCGCUGAGGAAGCGGCCACCCUAUUCGCUUAUGUAGUGUUGAUUAAUGGACGUAUUCGUCCUGCAAUUUUAUUUGUAGGCUUGUGACUCACUUGGAAGAUGCACUGGAGUCACCUCCCAGCAGUCCUCCGCGAAACAAAGUCCGCGACGAAGCAACGCAUG